rnacentral:rRNA from 1 species
CCUACGGGCGGCAGCAGUGGGGAAUAUUGGACAAUGGGGGCAACCCUGAUCCAGCCAUGCCGCGUGUGUGAAGAAGGCCCUCGGGUUGUAAAGCACUUUCAGUGAGGAAGAACGCCUGGUGGUUAAUACCCAUCAGGAAAGACAUCACUCACAGAAGAAGCACCGGCUAACUCCGUGCCAGCAGCCGCGGUAAUACGGAGGGUGCGAGCGUUAAUCGGAAUUACUGGGCGUAAAGCGCGCGUAGGUGGCUUGAUAAGCCGGUUGUGAAAGCCCCGGGCUCAACCUGGGAACGGCAUCCGGAACUGUCAAGCUAGAGUGCAGGAGAGGAAGGUAGAAUUCCCGGUGUAGCGGUGAAAUGCGUAGAGAUCGGGAGGAAUACCAGUGGCGAAGGCGGCCUUCUGGACUGACACUGACACUGAGGUGCGAAAGCGUGGGUAGCAAACAGGAUUAAAUACCCUAGUAGUC